GACGAACGCUGGCGGCGUGCCUAAUACAUGCAAGUCGAGCGCAGGAAACUGACGGAACUCUUCGGAGGGAAGGCAGUGGAAUGAGCGGCGGACGGGUGAGUAACACGUAAGGAACCUGCCUCAAGGAUUGGGAUAACUCCGAGAAAUCGGAGCUAAUACCGGAUAGUUCAACGGACCGCAUGGUCCGCUGAUGAAAGGCGCUUCGGCGUCACCUUGAGAUGGCCUUGCGGUGCAUUAGCUAGUUGGUGGGGUAACGGCCCACCAAGGCGACGGUGCAUAGCCGACCUGAGAGGGUGAGCGGCCACGCUGGGACUGAGACACGGCCCAGACUCCUACGGGAGGCAGCAGUAGGGAAUCUUCCACAAUGGACGAAAGUCUGAUGGAGCAACGCCGCGUGAGUGAUGAAGGUUUUCGGAUCGUAAAACUCUGUUGUAAGGGAAGAACACGUACGAGAGGAAAUGCUCGUACCUUGACGGUACCUUACGAGAAAGCCACGGCUAACUACGUGCCAGCCGCCGCCGUAA
rnacentral:rRNA from 1 species